UACGUAGGGUGCAAGCGUUAUCCGGAAUUAUUGGGCGUAAAGAGCUCGUAGGCGGUUUGUCGCGUCUGCUGUGAAAACUGGAGGCUCAACCUCCAGCCUGCAGUGGGUACGGGCAAACCAGAGUGCGGUAGGGGAGAUUGGAAUUCCUGGUGUAGCGGUGGAAUGCGCAGAUAUCAGGAGGAACACCGAUGGCGAAGGCAGAUCUCUGGGCCGUAACUGACGCUGAGGAGCGAAAGCAUGGGGAGCGAACAGG
rnacentral:rRNA from 1 species